rnacentral:rRNA from 1 species
CAGAACCCGAGUAAGCUCGAACACGACUGUCCUUAAAGUAAACCCACGCAUACAUAAGUACAAACCCACACAACUUAAAAUCCCACACAACCGCAAGGGCCUAUCCCCUCUAUUCACAAGAAUGGCUUAAUUCCCCUACCUUUUGCAUCAGGUAGUUGCAACAACCCCACCAACCCUUAUGUUGUCCCCCGAAAAGCGAGGAGCUAUUACCAGCAAUAACCAUUAGUGUGUCAUUACUUAAAGUACAGCUGGUAAUAGAAGCAAAAUACCUGACGAAUCGCCUGAUAGCUGGUUGUUCCUCAAAGGCAUAUAAGUGCCCCCCACCAGAAGCAUAAAAGAAACCCUUUGGUGGAGAAAAUCUAGCGGGGACAAGCUCGCUAGAGUUUAGAAGUACACAUAACCAAACCUUCGCGAAUAGGCCUAAAAACAGCCCACAAAAUCCGUUACAGGAAAUGAACUUUCCCACCAAAAUUCACCCUCAACUCUACCCACCAAGGAACCCUGCAGCGCAAUAAAUGCUUCAACGAAACGGCAAACUAUUAGUAUCAUAAAUCAGCUCCCAGAGCACCCUGCAUGUUAUACUCAUCAAACUACAUCCCAGAGUAACCACCGUGAGUAAUGAACUCGGCAAAAUCCUACCCUGCCUGUUUACCAAAAACAUCGUCUCUUGACCCCCACCCAUAAGAGAUACUGCCUGCCCCAUGAUUUAACUAUUAAAUGGCCGCGUUAGCGUGAGCGUGCUAAGGUAGCGUAAUAAACAGCUCUCUAAUUAGGAGCCAGUGAAAGGCAAAACAGGGAAGAACUGUAUCACCCACGGAAAGAUAACUUUUCCUCUAAGUGAAAAGACUUAGAUGAAGGAAAAAGACAAAAAGACCCCGCGGAACUCCCCUCAUAACUUUAAGCCUACCAACACAAGUUGCUAAGGAAUGAGGUUGGUUGGGGCAACCUUGGAGUAGAUAAAACCUCCACAACGGAUCACUAAAACCAAUAAAAAACUUGCUAAGGCACAUACCGCAGUUACCCCGGGGAUAACAGCGUAAUCCAGCUUAAGAGUACGCAUUGAAAGCUGGGUUUGCGACCUCGAUGUUGGCUUAGGGAAAGCAACUUGGCGCAGCCACUAAGAACAUCUGCCAGUCUGUUCGACUGCAAACCCCCUACACGAGCUGAGUUAAGACCGGCGAGAGCUAGGUUGGAUUCUAUCUUUUCCCUCACAACCACACUCUUUAUUGUACGAAAGGACCCAAAGAGGCACACUUGCACAAGUGCUCUACUAAAUCUCUUCAAGUAACACAAACAUGACAAAGUCCACAUCGCUAACCGCUAAUUUACUAGUC